rnacentral:misc_RNA from 1 species
AGACAGGCAGCCCGAAUUUCUGCCCGGGGCCUCUUAAGACACCAGCACACGGCGACGUCCGAAAACCUUGGAUCCGCCUCGAAAAAUGUGCGACCGUUCGAUGACAUCCCCGGACCAAGUGGCAUUUACAGUGUACCUUAUCUUGGGACUGCUUUCCACUUCAAACCUUUUACUUCCAUUACUGUUUCCACGAUAUACAAGUUACUGCGGAAGUUUACUGAUGAAUACGGCGAUAUCAUGAAGUUCAGAGCAGGCAAGAACUGGCUGGUGGUCCUCUCGAAUCCGCUGUUUUCAGAACAGCUGCUGAGGGAUGCGGACAAAUACCCUGCUCGACCCACUAUCGGAAUUUUGGACGCUUACUACAAAAGACAGAAACUGUCUCCAGGAUUAUCAUCACUGUAUAGUGUUUUAAUGAUUACCUCCAACCCCAACCCCUUUUCUACCGAUAAGACAAUGCAUGCUUAAUAUUUUUUUAAAAAUCAUUUCAAAUUGGAAGAGUAUAUGCAAAAUUGUUUUUAAACUUUAAUAUUUUAGGCAAGGUGAACAAUGGGCCAAUCUUAGAAAACCUGCCAACAACCAAAUGAUGCGCCCGGCAGUGGUAUCGUCAUACAUACCUGCUCUGACACCCGUAGCAGACGACUUCAUCGCCAUCUGCAGAAAUUCUCAUAGAAUUGACGAUUGUUUAAAGACGAUGAUUAACUUUACAACCGAAAGUAUCGGAAUGCUGUGCUUUAACAGACGUUUGGGGUGUUUAGCUGGAACAGCCAAUCUUGACUUUGUGGAAGACCUUGGCAUUUUCUUCCGCGGACUCGCCGAAUCAAACCACAACUCCCAGGCUUACAAAUACUUUCAAACACCCUUUUAUAAGAAAUUUGAAAAAUCUGCAGAUAACAUGUACAAAGUUGCAGCAAAGGAAAUGCACGACGCCUUGAACAAGAUGGAAGAACUCAGACGGGAAGGGAAGUUGGAGGAAUAUUUAAAGGAACCCAACUUUCUCUAUGCCUUGAUUUCUCACCCCGGAAUGACCCUGGCUAAAACCCAGAGUCUGAUCCUUGAUUUAUUUGUUGGAGGUAUUGACUCUACAUCAAAUGCACUGACAUUCUUAUGGCAUGAGUUAGCCACGCACCAAGAAUCACAAGAGCGUCUCUACCAGGAAAUUCGUCACGUGAUUGGCAACAAAAACCUAGAUGUAGAAGCUCUGACCAAUAUGCCAUAUCUGAAAGCGUGCGUCAAGGAAUCCUUGAGGAAAAAUUAUCCUCUAUCAACCGGAAGUAUUAGACGUUUGAAGGAGGAUAUUGUAGUUGGCGGAUAUCGAAUCCCAAAAGGAACCGAUGUUCUUGUCCCUCUGAGGAACAUGUCCAAAGAUGAAAAGUACUUCAAGAAUGCGGACCAGUUCAUCCCAGAAAGAUUUCUAAGAGGAGACAAGUCGAUCGAUGACGAGACGCGACACACGGAACCGUUCGUUUAUCUCCCCUUUGGGUUUGGACCGCGCAGCUGUAUCGGGCAGCGCUUCGCCGAGAAUGAGAUGUACAUUAUCACAGCAAAGCUUUUCCAAGCUUUCCAAGUCUCACUGGCACCUGAAGUCCCAAAACAACUACAGUAUACGUACAGAAUCUUUGCCUGUCCAACAACCAAAGUCACAUUAUUGUUGAAAGACAGACAGUAAUUAUCCAUUCUCCUCCGGAGUACCAUAUCAUAUUAACUAUAUAUACCCACAGCUUACUGUAUGCUGCUUUAGAAAGAUACUCAAGAUACUUCGGGGAAAAAAACUUUUUUGUCAUCCACUAGACUGGCCUUUUUAUACCUGACUUGUUUUAAUGUUGGAAUUAUGUUAUUUAAAGAUUUUUUUCCCAUUUGGCAAUAUUGUGCAUUUUAUUGCACAAGAUUUUUACUUUUUAUACCAAAGACAUAAAAAAAUCAGACUGAAAAUAUUAUAUAACAGUAUUAGGAAUAAACCCCAGUAUAAAUACAUGUAUUGUACAAUAAUUCAGAAACAAAAGCAGUAAUAAAUAGUAAUCAAUUUUUACAAAUCAAACAGAGAUUGCGCCAUCAUCUGAAAGUGUACUACAAACAUGAUAAUGUUGGUGUUUUAAUUUAGAUAGUUUUAGUUGUUUCCUAUUUUAAAAGAACACAUUUUCUAGAUAAAAAGUUCAGUAUAUUUUUUCCAGUAUUUUCUCUUUCAAUUGACAAUGGAUUUUUUUUUUUGGAUAAUAUGUUGACAUUGUUUUAGUCCCAUUAGUACACACAUGUACAUGUAUUGUCUGGUGCAAUUUUUUUAUGAUAUUAGUAUCCAUAUUUAUAACAAUACAUUCAUCAUUACUGAUACAUCUGUGUCCUAACAUAUGUAUUAAACUUGAUCAUUAUUAAAAUACUUCUUUUGUAGCGUGACAAUGUCUUUUAAUAUGAUAAAUAUAAUGAAUUUUUAAAUAGCAUGUACUUGAUUGUCUGACAGUCUUGUUGAAUUUUCUAUGGUUGAUCUAUGAAAUUGUUGGUUGUAUUGUCUUGUACCAAUUAUUUACAAAAUACAUGUAUCUAAUAAAAGUUAGACAAAU